GUCCCUUUAGCUCAGGUGGUUAGAGCGCUCAACUCAUAAUUGAGAGGUCGCUGGUUCGAAACCAGCAAGGGGCACCA
rnacentral:tRNA from 1 species